CCCGGGCCGUCGCCGGAGAACGGCUGGCCAGCGUCGUGGGGCGCGCUCCUCGGAAAAGUAGAGGAAGCGCACAGGUGGCUGAGCAUACAAACUGAAGAAAAAAUUGAAAUGCCAUUUUAAAAACUUGAAAGGUGGGUGUUGGGAACAUAUUGCAACCUAAAGUAAGCAGCAUGGAGAUACAAUCUCAGAGCUAGAACAAAUAAUGUCUGCAGAAAGGAGUUUCCUUAAGCUAAAUUUUUAUUUUAGUCAGACAUGACAGAACAUAAUCUGUAUUUGGGGUAACUACAUGAAAUUAUUUAAUAUCUAGAAUGGUUGAGCGCUGUGGCUCAUGCCUGUAAUCCCAGCAGUGAGCUGUGAUCGCACCACUGCACCCCAGCCUGGAUGACAGAGUGAGACCCUGUCUCAAAAAAAUAAAUAGGCCAGGCAUGGUGGCUCACGCCUGUAAUCCCAGCACUUCUGGGAGGCCAAGUUUGGUGGAUCAUUUGAGAUCAGGAGUUCCAGACCAGCCAACAUGGUGAAACCCCGUCUCUACUAAAAAUACAAAAAAAAUUAGCCGGGCAUGGUGGCAGGCACCUGUAGUCCCAGCUACUCAGGAGGCUGAGGCUGGAGAAUUGCUUGAACCCAGAAGGAGGAGGUUGCAGUGAGCCGUGAUCACACCACUGCACUCCAGCCUGGGUGACAGAGUGAGACUUUGUCUCAAAAAAUAUAAAGAAAUAAAUUAUAUAUAUAUAUAGAGAGAGAGAGAGAGAGAGAGAGAAUAGGGAAGAUUUUAGCCAUCUGGGAAAAUUUUGCUGUGUCAGAGUUACAAAACUAUAGGUAAAAUAUAGUAUAGUAGUAAUAAUAGCUUAGAUUUUGGAAUCAAACACACCUAGUCUCUUCCAUUUAUUAGCAGCAAGAUAUUGGGCAAGUUAUUUAACCUUUCUAAGUCUCCAUUUCCUCAUGUAAAAAUGAGCGUAAUAAUGGCACCAACUCCAUAGUUUAUGAGGUUAUAAAGGUGUACUUAUAUGAAGAGCUCAGAACAGUGCUUGGUGCAUGAUAAAACUUAAGAAAGAUUAUAUUAGAGUUCUCCAGAGAAACACAACCAAUAGGAGAUAGAUAUGGUUUUGCUUCUCUGGAGAACUCUAGAUAGAAUAGAUAGAUAGAUAGAUAGAUAGAUAGAUAGAUAGAUAGAUAAUAAAUAGAUAUGGAAAUAGAUAGACAGAAGUUUAUUAUGAGAGAUUGGGUUGAGAUUAUGAAGGCUGAGAAGUCCCACGAUCAUCUGCCAUCUGUAAGCUAAAGGCCGAGGAAAGCCAGUAGUGUAGGUCCAGUCCAAGCCCAAAGGCCUGAGAAACACAGGAGCCAACAGUGUAGUUCAGUUUAUGUCCAAAAGCCUGAGAACCAGGAGCAAUGAUAUCCGAGGGCAGGAGAUGAUGGAUGUCCCUGUUCAGAGUGAAUUCACCCUUCCUCCACCUUUUUGUUCUAUUUGGGCCCUCAGCAGAUGUGAUGACGCCGGGGUACGUGGGUGAGAAAAUCUUUACUCAAUGUACCAAUUCGAAUGCUGAUCUCUGCAGGAAACAUGCUCAAAUACACAUUGAGAAAUAAUGUUUCAAUAGCUCUAUCUGGGCACCUUUUAGCCCAGUCAAGCUGACACAUAAUAUUAAUCCAAGAAAUUUAGUAUAAUUCUGAAAAUGGAAACCAUUUGUUUCGUAUUAAAUAUACUACCUCUUCAUGUUUUUAAUGAAGAAUUGAAGCUGGCAUUUUAAGCUGAUAACUCAUUGAUGGUAGCAUAAACUGUGUGCAGGCCAUACAAUUAGCCUGACCAGUAUCUGCUAAUUAUACCAGAAGCUCUUCAGUGGAGACAAAAGAGAAAAGAAUUAAACUAAUUGUAUAUAAUGCCUCACUGCCCUACCUUGGGUAACAUCCAUCCUAUAAAGAGCAAUUCUUGUGUUAAAACAUUUAUUGACCACUUACUAUGUUCAAGGAGCUAUGUGGGGUGACGUAAAGGAUAAAUGAUGCCUGUAAUCAAAAGAAGAAAACAGUCGUAUUCACAAAUUCACAUGUUACAAGAAAAGUAUCAAGGAAGUUUCUUUUUUUAAUGUUAAAAUCAAAGGAAUAUGUCUGUAAGAAAGAAGCUUAGCUUGAAGUUAAAAGACCUGAAUUUUAACCCUAACUUUUCCACCAGAUAGCUAUGAACUUUAGAAAUUGGCUUAGCUUCUCUGUGCCUUAAGUUUCCCAUUGUUAAAUAUGAAUAAUGGUAACUGUUCAUCCUACCUCAUAGGAGUGUUGUGACUAUGAGCAUGAACUUAAUCAUAGACUCAAUUAUUUUUAAAGUUACUAGUACUGUUAGUCUGAGAAAUAAUAACUAGUAGUAAAGGGAUUUCAAUAUAGCAGCCACAUUGUUAACAAGAGUUACUUAGACAAAGGCACAGGAGCACCAGGCAGCAUCCACGUGUGGUAAGAUGGCAGUGCGGCAGUGCUCUUGUCCUGGGUUCAUUGCCCUCGCCUCCUAAAAUCGCUGUGAUCAUUAAAGAUUGCUAAAAUGAGAUGUUUCCUUCCCAACUUAUUUUUAACAUUGAAGAAACCACUGGGAAGAAAUGAAUAAUCUGCCAAGCUGCUUUUGUUUUGUAAAAAUAGUAUGUGCCAUGAAAUUCCAUCUCUCAGGCAAUUAUUUUGCCUAUUCUAUGUUCCUAUACCCUGGAAUAAUUUUGAUGGAUGAAGAACAUUGAACCAUACACAUAAUAACAACCCAAGUUAACUAGAGGGGCAUCUUUAAGCACUUGCAAGCUAACCUUAGCCUGAGACUAGAAAAUGGAACGAGAAUGUCACCCUUUAAGACCUAACAUAGUUCAAUUAGGAAAUCACAAAGUAGGCUGAACAAGAGGUAGCAAACACAGUAGGAGAAGUCCUGGCUCCACUGUAUUCUGGCUCCACCACGGACGUGGACUGUACCAGCAAACAAAUCACUCAUCUUCAAUUUCAUUGGGAACAUGUUAAGAGAUUUGUUAAAUAAAUGAUUUCAAUUGUCACCUCUUCCUCUAAAAUUAAAUGAUUCCCAAGAAUUUUUGGGACUUUCUCUGUCUCUGUGAGACCACAGUCUAGGUUUAAAUUAGGCUAAAAGAUGCAAAUGAAACUAUUACUCAUCAGUUUGGGAAUAGCACUGCUUUCUAAUUAUUCCACAGGUUCCAGGACUACCUCAAAUGUAUUACGUCUCUAAUCAGUCUUUCUCCUUAAAAAUGCCUAUUAUUUCUUGGUGGACUGCAAAGAUUUCUGUUUUAUAUCUGCGCAUCUUGGGAAACAUUUUAUUUUCCUCAUAGAUUUAUUUGGCAUUUUUAUCUUUAUAUGAUUGAGUCAAAUCUCAAUACAAAGAACACCCCUUUCAUGCUUAUUUAUUACAACAUGAGCAUGCAGCCUCCAACCCCUGAUUCCUAGGUACAGAAAAAUAAAGUUCAAGCUUUUUCAUGCUUUUGCA